rnacentral:misc_RNA from 1 species
AUAAGAAGAUUGAAAGAAAGAAAAAGGAAAAACAGAGGGAAGGAAAAUAGCUAACAACAUCAUCAAAAAUACCCUAAAGAAGAAAUGAAGGUAUCUAUCUGUCCUUGACUUGUGUGCUGAUAUCAAAUGAAGAUUCAAGUCCAAGUUUCAAUCAUUGAAAAUCAAAUUUUGAGAUAUGUAAACUCCUAGCCAAAAUAGGUGAUGGGCACAAGAUCCUCGAUUUUUUAUCCUUGUGACAAAUGUGCCUGCAUAAUAGAAACUUGCCCAUGCAACACCGGUUGAACCAAACACUUUUUAGCACAUGCCCAUAAAAGUAAAGCAGAUCACCUUUUUGUAGGUUAGCUGGUGAUAACUUACAUUUGGGCAUAAUUAUGGCGUUUGAUUAAGAAAGCUAAAGAGUUAGGGAGAGCAACAGCAACAGUUUUUGCUCAGGUAAAUACUAGAGCUCCAGUUCGAGGGUGGAAUUUACUCUCGGGCAAUUUUUCCUCUGAGUUUUAGAAGGAAUAUUGGUUCAAUGGGGGUGGCUUAAACACUGGGUGAAGAUAGCAGAG